rnacentral:lncRNA from 1 species
CCUACCUCGGCCUGUGAUUUAGUGCUAUUUGACAUAAGAAAACCAAACAGCCCCGGCAGUUAACUCCCGGCCCACCUCCGGCACGGGCACAGCCCGAGGCGGGGGGAGCGCGGCGGUUACGCCGGCGUCCGCUGCCGCCCGACACGGUGGGUCUGUCACGCUCACCGGAUGCCGCUCGCGCAGCUUUACGUAACUUCGGGAGCGGUCACCGGGCCCGACGUGCCGUACCGCAGCUGCACGGUACGCCCUGCACGGCCGCAAGGUUCCGGGAACCGGCUGGUUUCACCAGGGCGCCGAGGACUCAUCGCUGAGCUGAGGCUCCUCCGCCCCGCCCUGUUGUAGUCUUGGCCAGAUUUCACACCAAAAUGCAAGGAUACUGCCAUGCCUACAAGCAAGAAGGUCUUUCACUCAGCAUGGACAAUCUCCCUAGUGUUGGUCCAGGUCUGCUGGAGCUCCA